AAAGCGCACGCAGGCGGUCUGUUAAGUCAGAUGUGAAAUCCCCGGGCUUAACCUGGGAACUGCAUUUGAAACUGGCAGGCUUGAGUCUUGUAGAGGGGGGUAGAAUUCCAGGUGUAGCGGUGAAAUGCGUAGAGAUCUGGAGGAAUACCGGUGGCGAAGGCGGCCCCCUGGACAAAGACUGACGCUCAGGUGCGAAAGCGUGGGGAGCAAACAGGAUUAGAUACCCCAGU
rnacentral:rRNA from 1 species